UGCAGAUCAGCCUCCUCAGCUCGGGCUCUGCAUAGGCAAUCACAGCCCCUGCUCGCAGACCCAACUCUCCCUCUCGCACCGAUUGCAAUGAAUUUUCUGCCUGAAUGUAGGUCGCUGACAGCCGAGAGCACGAGUUUCCUGUACAUCCAGUGCUGUUUUAUUUCCUGUUGAUAUUUUUAAUUUUUCUUCCCCCCCCACCCCCCCUCCCCUCGCCUCCCCCCAAUUCAUGGUCACUGCAUUCCUUUGGAGAAGCGAAUCGCGUUGGAUUCCAAAAAGCAGAGCAGGAUCCUUGUGUGAUAACACCGACUGCAUGACAUCUGAAAGGAUUUCCUGAAGGAAUCUGGCUGUGUGAAAAAGCCCCUCUGCUUCUGCAGCUCUUCCAGCGUUAAGCUUAUCUCUGAAGCCACCCACCUGUUCUGUGGGAUAUUGUAGUUGCUUGUGGCUGAGGAUUCAGUCCUUCACCUCUGACUUCAGAGGAGUGUCAGUCUUUUUCUGCUUUAUUUGAAUAUACUACCACAAGGAGAUCCUUAUGGGACAGGCAGAAAUCAAGACGAGAGGCACAGGUAGGUUCAAAGGUGUAACCAUUUAAAGCAGAAGGAGACGAAGGAGAGGAUCAUGAGAAAACUAGGAUGUUAGGGAGAGAAAGGGAGAAAGAAGCAGCAUGAGUUCUACUGUAUCUUUCUGAUCUGCUUGAAGACAAUAAAUACAGUUGGGAAUAUUAUCAUUUAGGGAGAUUGUGUAGAUGAGAGAUUUCCUGUCUUUUUCUGAUGUGCUACUACUCAUUAAUGUUGAAAAAACAGCUCCCCCCAGGAGGUUUUUCUUGUUGGCUGAUUUUCUCUCUCUGGUCAGAGAGAGAAUUCCUGCACAUUUAAUAAGGUAAAAGAUCCAUUUAAUAACCUUUUCAUUACUUGAUAUUUACAUUUGUUUUAAGUGAAGGCAGUAAUUUACUUAUUGCUUAGAUAUCUGUAAGUCAACACUACCUUAGUAUAUGCAAAAAGUGGGUGGUUUGUUUUGUUGCUGAAAGCCCACAGUGUUUGAAUCGUGG
rnacentral:lncRNA from 1 species